UGCGUAGGUGGUUUCUUAAGUCAGGAGUGAAAGGUUACGGCUCAACCGUAGUAAGCUCUUGAAACUGGGAAACUUGAGUGCAGGAGAGGAAAGUGAAAUUCCUAGUGUAGCGGUGAAAUGCGUAGAUAUUAGGAGGAACACCAGUAGCGAAGGCGGCUUUCUGGACUGUAACUGACACUGAGGCACGAAAGCGUGGGGAGGCAAAACA
rnacentral:rRNA from 1 species